AAGUCGUAACAAGGUCUCCGUAGGGGAACCUGCGGAGGGAUCAUUUCCGAAAAAAACUGAUCGAGUAGCUUAGAUUCUUGUAAAAGAGAGUUUGGGUGAAAGAUCAAAAAAAGUUGGUUGUGCUCAAAAACUAUUAAUUUUGGUAUGAUUUUGCUGCAUAAGAAGUGUUUUUCGCAAGAGAAGUGCUUUUUUUUGUAGUGAAAGAGUACCAAGAUCAAAUACAUAAACUGUCAUCAAGGUAUCCUUAACUGAAUCCAAGAAAUAUCAAAAAAUUGAUACGACAA
rnacentral:misc_RNA from 1 species